rnacentral:rRNA from 1 species
AUGGUGGCUUGUGGGCGGAUGUUUCUCAGACCUAAGUUGUUGCCGCUGGACCGUGGUUACAUUCAUCCUAGCUUGGAGGAAACGGUGUGGGUGGGUAUGCAUGUGCAGGGCGAAGAAGUGGACGAAGGCCGAAGAAGCAAUCUCUGCCUCCCUAUUGCUGCGUCCUGCUCCUCAAUAUGUCACCUUAGUCAUGGCCGCCUUAUCCCUCAUGCUGCUGAUUUGAAUCUGCCCUACUCUUCUUCUCCUAGACUGCUCGAGCGCUUCAGCGGGUGCCUUGCCGACGACAGGGAAGGAAGGACCAGAAGCCACGAAAUUGAGGUAUGUAGAAGAUAA